rnacentral:rRNA from 1 species
UUCUACGGCCUUAUGGACACGCCUGAUCUCGUCUGAUCUCGGAAGCUAAGCAUGGUCGGGCCUGGUUAGUAUUUGGAUGGGAGACCGUCUGGGAAUACCAGGUGCUGUAAAUG